UACGAAGGGUGCAAGCGUUACUCGGAAUUACUGGGCGUAAAGCGUGCGUAGGUGGUUCGUUAAGUCUGAUGUGAAAGCCCUGGGCUCAACCUGGGAAUGGCAUUGGAAACUGGCGACCUAGAGUGCGGUAGAGGGUAGUGGAAUUCCCGGUGUAGCAGUGAAAUGCGUAGAGAUCGGGAGGAACAUCUGUGGCGAAGGCGACUGCCUGGACCAGCACUGACACUGAGGCACGAAAGCGUGGGGAGCAAA
rnacentral:rRNA from 1 species